CACCGCGGUUAUACGAGAGGCCCAAGUUGACAGAGACCGGCGUAAAGAGUGGUUAAUAUAAAUGUAAACUAAAGCCGAACACCUUCUUAGCCGUCAUACGCACCCGAAGACAGGAAGACCUCCAACGAAAGUGGCUUUAACCAAGAUGACCCCACGAAAGCUAUGACA
rnacentral:rRNA from 1 species